UUAAGUUCAGCGGGUAUCCCUACCUGAUCCGAGGUCAAACUGAGAAAGGAGCUUCCUGGGGGACGCGUCCCGCCGGACCUCGAGUAUCGCGUUUCUGCUGCGCUCGAAGCCAACGUAACGGCCGCCAAUGACUUUGAGGCGAGUCCCCCGGGGGGGGGACAGGCGCCCAUCACAAGCAGAGCUUGAGUCGUUAAAUGACG
rnacentral:misc_RNA from 1 species